GCUUUUUCCUUUUCCAGGUUGCUGAAGAAGUAAAUUUUGCUGCUAAUGGAAUAACUGUUGAAGGAAUUAAAGCUUUUGAUGGUAUUUUACAAUCAAACAUUUCUCUAAAGGUUCUUAACUUAUCAAGAAACAAUAUUGGGGAUGAAGGAGCUAAGGUUUUAUGUGAUAUACUGGUGGAUAAUAGUGGUAUUCAGAAGCUCCAGCUAAAUAGUACUAAUAUAGGUGAUGAGGGAGCAAAGGCCAUUGCUGAGUUGCUAAAGAAGAACUCAACCUUGAGGACAAUUGAACUCAACAACAAUUUGAUUGAUUAUUCUGUAAUUUUUUUCUUUUUCAUCUUAUUUUAUAAAAAAACUAAUAAAAUAUUUCUUACUUUUUAAUUGGCAUUGUUUACAUGGAUUCUCAGGUCUUGCUAAAGCACUUCUUGAAAAUAAACCGUUGAAUAGUUUAUAUCUAAAGUGAGCCAUCUUAAAAAUACAUUGCCAAUAUUGGUACUUGGUAGUGAUAAUAAAGUAUGUCGCUUGUUGUUCCCUGCAGUUAAUACUAUUUACUUUUAUUUUUAUAAUUACAGAGGACCCCAACCGGAUGAAGCAACCUCAGGGCCCUUUUGUCCACCUGACUGAUCAUUUUUAGACACUCCUCCCGUAUGGACACUAGGCCAUGAAAGCUGAAUA